GCUCGAGUCUACCCUCAGCCCCAUGGGGAAGGAGGUCUGGAGCGUCAAUGACUCCAAGAGCUGCCCCACCUUGAGGCAAGGGGUGUGGACUUUCAAAUUCCUGUUUCCGUCCGCCAUUGGUUGAGGCCACCUCAAGGAGGAAGGGGAUUAUUUCCCAGGUAUCUCCAGGCAACGUGACUCCCAAGCACUGAGGACAAUUCUUAGGGGAUGUGUAUAGUCAAGGCAGCCAGAGAUAGCUCAUAGCACCUGCUACAGGCAGAUCUGGCCGGGGCACCCUUGGCACCUGCCCCAGGUGGACAUGACUACCCACUGAGACCUCAUUCUAUCAUUUUUCCUGCCGGCUGAGACCUACACCCCAGAUCAGGGAAACAAGAAAAUGCACCGCGUUCCAGUAAGCUCUUGAACAUCUCAGAAGAUAACUACCUCGCCAGGGUUCAGGCGGAAAGACGACUUGGUGCCUGGCAGCCCAGGUCUACGAGAAGAAGGGUCAAGUUGAGAACAGCAGAGGGACCAUUUUUGCCUUUAUCCUGUGACGUUACACUAUUCCACAACAUCUAUCUCUGGAUAAGUAUCCACUAGAACAACACUGCUCAAGGAGUCCCAUGGAAGGAUGUUCAUGGUGGAAUGAACCAAACUGCCCAUCGCCAGGGAAAGGGGGAAAUGGUUUUCCUGCCUGGGAUGGAGAACGUUUCAUUAAAGGAACCCAGAGACGCGAAAGGAGGGAAGGGAACCCUGGCAGGACUGAGAAUGUUUCCUGGCAGCUCCAAGGUGCCACCCAGUGUUUGCUUCCUGUUUGCCGAUGAGCCGUGAGCCAAAGCAAGCAACGUGGCCAAGCCCAGAGUCAAUAUGGGAGAGCGUGGACGCUGGGUAAUAUGACUCACUGCAGCCAUUGAUGGAACAAGUUAGCACACAUGCCUUUCUUAUCCCCCUGGUGAUGUUGAUGUUGACGACUGGCUUGGAAGAGAAAUGCCUUUGCCAUGACACGUGAGCACUUCGUUGCACUCCGGGAUGAAACUCUGUCCCUAAGUUACCAUGUUACCUAUGACUCAGUUAAACUCCUUUGGCCACCUCAGUACCCAAAUGGCUGUUACUUCCUGUGUGCUUCCGAGUUUUCUCUGUCCAAGCUCGUCAGCAGUUGUUACUAUGUCUGCGUCUCCACGUUUGUGGCUCUUUGUCUCUCACCUCCUGGGGCCAUUGGAUUCUUCCUCUUCUUCUCCCCAUUCCUUUGGCUUGGCUAAAACACCCGCAGGAUGGAAGGGGCAGAGGGAAAGGAACUGGGAAAGAGGAUACUUCAGAGUCAGUGGAGAAUUCAAGGAUCAGACCCUUCUCGGUGGGCCGUUAGAUAGUAGGAAAAGGAGUUCUACUGAAUUGGGUUUUCCCCAGACGAAAUUGUACAAACUUUCUUAGCAUCAUGCAGAUUUUCCUUUGUAGAUGCCUGUCACCAGAGAAAAAUGCCAUUGUGUUGUGUCAUGCUGAUGCCACGCUGAUACUGGUAACCCUACCAGCCUGCAGCGAGACUACGGAGUCAGAACCCAAGAACAAUGACUUUUGGCAUCAUCUUCCCGCUGGUGACUGCAGGAACAUAAACUCCCUGGGGACACGCAGGGGCUCUUUUGGUCUUGUUGAUGGCUAUAUCCACACGGGCCGGCAUGGGGGCAGAACCUAGAAGGUAUCCAAUACCUGAAUGGCCACAUCUCUGAGAGGAAGACUCAGAAAUGACAAGUUUUCAUCUCGAUGUGACUCCAGCUUUCUGACAUGUCUUGGUCCAAAGAGCCUCUGCACGUCUCUCCAGAGACAGGCCUGGAACUUGCACCUGUGACGGCCACAUCACUUUGCCCGUGGCUUUCCCCGGCUGUCUCUCCUGGGACAAUGAAUCAAGUGUGUUUGGCAAAUGAAGAUUUUUUUUUUUAAGUUUAUUUUUUUUUUAUUUUGAGAGAGAGAGAGAGAGAGAAAGAGAGAGAGAGAGAGA